CCUACGGGUGGCAGCAGUGAGGAAUAUUGGUCAAUGGGCGCGAGCCUGAACCAGCCAAGUAGCGUGAAGGAUGACUGCCCUACGGGUUGUAAACUUCUUUUAUAAAGGCAUAAAGUGAGGCAAGUGUGCCUUUUUGUAUGUAUUUUAUGAAUAAGGAUCGGAUAACUCCGUGACGGCAGCCGAGGUAAUACGGAGGAUCCGAGCAUUAUCCGGAUUUAUUGGGUUUAAAGGGGGAGUAGAUCGGUUGUUAAGUCCGGUGUGAAAGUUUGCGGCUCAACCGUAAAAUUGCAAUUGAUACUGGCAGCCUUGAGUACAGUUGAGGUAGGCGGAAUUCGUGGUGUAGCGGUGAAAUGCUUAGAUAUCACGAAGAACUCCGAUUGCGAAGGCAGCCUACUAAACUGCCACUGACAUUGAUGCUCGAAAGUGUGGGUAUCAAACAGGAUUAGAUACCCGGGUAGUC
rnacentral:rRNA from 1 species